rnacentral:rRNA from 1 species
AUUGAACGCUGGCGGCAUGCUUUACACAUGCAAGUCGAACGGCAGCGCGGGCUUCGGCCUGGCGGCGAGUGGCGAACGGGUGAGUAAUACAUCGGAACGUGCCCAGUAGUGGGGGAUAGCUCGGCGAAAGCCGGAUUAAUACCGCAUACGACCUGAGGGUGAAAGCGGGGGAUCUUCGGACCUCGCGCUAUUGGAGCGGCCGAUGGCAGAUUAGCUAGUUGGUGGGGUAAAGGCCUACCAAGGCGACGAUCUGUAGCUGGUCUGAGAGGACGACCAGCCACAGGGGAAGUGAGAGAGGGCCAAGCCUCCUCGGGGAGGCAGGAGGGGGGAAUUUGGGCAAAUGGGCGAAGGCGUGAUCCAGCAAUGCGGGGUGUGGGAAGAAGGCCUUCGGGUUGUAAAGCCCUUUGGGGGGGAAAGAAAAGGAUGGGCCAAAUACCCGGGUUGGAUGACGGUCCCCAAAGAAAAAGCACCGGCUAACUACGUG